rnacentral:rRNA from 1 species
UGUUUCGGCAAGGGGGUCAUCCCGACUUACCAACCCGAUGCAAACUGCGAAUACCGGAGAAUGUUAUCACGGGAGACACACGGCGGGUGCUAACGUCCGUCGUGAAGAGGGAAACAACCCAGACCGCCAGCUAAGGUCCCAAAGUCAUGGUUAAGUGGGAAACGAUGUGGGAAGGCCCAGACAGCCAGGAUGUUGGCUUAGAAGCAGCCAUCAUUUAAAGAAAGCGUAAUAGCUCACUGGUCGAGUCGGCCUGCGCGGAAGAUGUAACGGGGCUAAACCAUGCACCGAAGCUGCGGCAGCGACGCUUAUGCGUUGUUGGGUAGGGGAGCGUUCUGUAAGCCUGUGAAGGUGUGCUGUGAGGCAUGCUGGAGGUAUCAGAAGUGCGAAUGCUGACAUAAGUAACGAUAAAGCGGGUGAAAAGCCCGCUCGCCGGAAGACCAAGGGUUCCUGUCCAACGUUAAUCGGGGCAGGGUGAGUCGACCCCUAAGGCGAGGCCGAAAGGCGUAGUCGAUGGGAAACAGGUUAAUAUUCCUGUACUUGGUGUUACUGCGAAGGGGGGACGGAGAAGGCUAUGUUGGCCGGGCGACGGUUGUCCCGGUUUAAGCGUGUAGGCUGGUUUUCCAGGCAAAUCCGGAAAAUCAAGGCUGAGGCGUGAUGACGAGGCACUACGGUGCUGAAGCAACAAAUGCCCUGCUUCCAGGAAAAGCCUCUAAGCAUCAGGUAACAUCAAAUCGUACCCCAAACCGACACAGGUGGUCAGGUAGAGAAUACCAAGGCGCUUGAGAGAACUCGGGUGAAGGAACUAGGCAAAAUGGUGCCGUAACUUCGGGAGAAGGCACGCUGA